rnacentral:rRNA from 1 species
CCUACGGGAGGCAGCAGUAGGGAAUCUUUCACAAUGGGCGAAAGCCUGAUGGAGCAACGCCGCGUGCUGGAUGAAGGCCUUCGGGUUGUAAACUGCUUUUAUCAGCGAGAAAUAUGAUGGUAACUUAUGAAUAAGGAUCGGCUAACUACGUGCCAGCAGCCGCGGUCAUACGUAGGAGCCGAGCAUUAUCCGGAGUGACUGGGUGUAAAGAGUUGCGUAGGUGGCAUAAUAAGUAGAUAGUAAAAACUGGUGGCUCACCCAUUCAGACGAUUAGAGAAACGGUUAAGCUGGAGAACGUGAGGGGUAACUGGAAUUGCUAGUGUAGGAGUGAAAUCCGUAGAUAUUAGAAGGAACACCAAUGGCGUAGGCAGGUUACUGGGACGGUUCUGACACUAAGGCACGAAAGCGUAGGGAGCAAACGGGAUUAGAUACCCUUGUAGUC